rnacentral:rRNA from 1 species
UUUAAUUGAAGAGUUUGAUCAUGGCUCAGAUUGAACGCUGGCGGCAGGCCUAACACAUGCAAGUCGAGCGGUAACAGAGAGUAGCUUGCUACUUUGCUGACGAGCGGCGGACGGGUGAGUAAUGCUUGGGAACAUGCCUUGAGGUGGGGGA